rnacentral:rRNA from 1 species
CAGCAGCCGCGGUAAUACAGAGGGUGCGAGCGUUAAUCGGAUUUACUGGGCGUAAAGCGCGCGUAGGUGGUUUGUUAAGUUGGAUGUGAAAGCCCCGGGCUCAACCUGGGAACUGCAUCCAAAACUGGCAAGCUAGAGUACGGUAGAGGGUGGUGGAAUUUCCUGUGUAGCGGUGAAAUGCGUAGAUAUAGGAAGGAACACCAGUGGCGAAGGCGACCACCUGGACUGAUACUGACACUGAGGUGCGAAAGCGUGGGGAGCAAACAGGAUUAGAUACCCGAGUAGUCCCUGUCUCUUAUAC